GGUUAAGUGGGAAACGAUGUGGGAAGGCCCAGACAGCCAGGAUGUUGGCUUAGAAGCAGCCAUCAUUUAAAGAAAGCGUAAUAGCUCACUGGUCGAGUCGGCCUGCGCGGAAGAUGUAACGGGGCUAAACCAUGCACCGAAGCUGCGGCAGCGAACGUAUCACUUAAAGCGAUUCAGCGGGUUACGAUUGACGGAGCGAAGCGACGUCAAAGCGUAUACAAAGUCGAGUCGGUUUAAGGAUACGUUCGUUGGGUAGGGGAGCGUUCUGUAAGCCUGCGAAGGUGGCCUGUGAGGGUUGCUGGAGGUAUCAGAAGUGCGAAUGCUGACAUAAGUAACGAUAAAGCGGGUGAAAAGCCCGCUCGCCGGAAGACCAAGGGUUCCUGUCCAACGUUAAUCGGGGCAGGGUGAGUCGACCCCUAAGGCGAGGCCGAAAGGCGUAGUCGAUGGGAAACGGGUUAAUAUUCCCGUACUUGGUGUUACUGCGAAGGGGGGACGGAGAAGGCUAUGUUGGCCGGGCGACGGUUGUCCCGGUUUAAGCGUGUAGGUGUGUGUUCCAGGUAAAUCCGGUUCACUUUAACACUGAGGCGUGACGACGAGGCACUACGGUGCUGAAGCAACAAAUGCCCUGCUUCCAGGAAAAGCCUCUAAGCAUCAGGUAACAUCAAAUCGUACCCCAAACCGACACAGGUGGUCAGGUAGAGAAUACCAAGGCGCUUGAGAGAACUCGGGUGAAGGAACUAGGCAAAAUGGUGCCGUAACUUCGGGAGAAGGCACGCUGACACGUAGGUGAAGUGAUUUACUCAUGGAGCUGAAGUCAGUCGAAGAUACCAGCUGGCUGCAACUGUUUAUUAAAAACACAGCACUGUGCAAACACGAAAGUGGACGUAUACGGUGUGACGCCUGCCCGGUGCCGGAAGGUUAAUUGAUGGGGUCAGCGCAAGCGAAGCUCCUGAUCGAAGCCCCGGUAAACGGCGGCCGUAACUAUAACGGUCCUAAGGUAGCGAAAUUCCUUGUCGGGUAAGUUCCGACCUGCACGAAUGGCGUAAUGAUGGCCAGGCUGUCUCCACCCGAGACUCAGUGAAAUUGAACUCGCUGUGAAGAUGCAGUGUACCCGCGGCAAGACGGAAAGACCCCGUGAACCUUUACUAUAGCUUGACACUGAACAUUGAGCCUUGAUGUGUAGGAUAGGUGGGAGGCUUUGAAG
rnacentral:rRNA from 1 species